AGGGCGCAAAAAAAGACGCAAGGCAGUUUGUUGGGUCCUUAGUAAGCAAAAAGGCUUCCUGUCUCAUCCAAUGUGCUAAUAAAACCCCACACGGAAAAGAUAGAGAGAAACAGAUUGCCUAGCUUAAACCUUGAGUGUUCUCUUCCUCUCAAACAAUCAAACCAACUAAGCCAGCUGCAAUCUUCUCUGUCUAAUCAACUUCAUCGUUGUUUCAUACAGGUAACCAGUGCCAAAAUGAUUGCUGGGGGAGGCUAUUUUGAUGGUUCUCAUGACCAUAUUCUCAUGGAAGGAUCAAUGAUCCAUGAUUCUUCACAAUCUUCCAUCUAUGACAAUACAGAUGUUGAACAGCAGAACUUCAGAUUUGCGCCCUUUAUCAUAGAAGAUCACUCCAAUCCAGCCAACCUUACCUCUGAGGCUGCAAGGGUGAUAGACCAAAUUCAACACCAGCUGGGGAUUGACAUCGAGCAGGACCAUAGUGAUCACAUGAUGCAAGAAGUUCCUCCAGCAGAAACUGAAAAUUUGGUUCCUGCUGUCUAUGGUGUUCAAGAUCAUAUCCUUAGCCACCAGAUAGAAGGUCCGCAUAACAUAACUGUGGAACAACAGGUCCUGGGCUAUGACCCUGCAUCAUAUCGAAAUGGCACUUAUGCAGCUGCACAUGAUCUUCUAAAUUCUCUACAUAUCCAAAGGUGCAGUUUGAUUCCUGAAUUUCCUUCCACAGAACAUAUCUUUAGUGAUCCAGCACAGAACAUGGUCAACAGGUUGGACAUUACAAAUGAUCUUCCAGGAGUAGCAAAUCAUGAAAGUGGAAUGAUGUUCAGCGAUUCAACUGUACCGUUAGGCUAUCAUGCAACUCAAUCUCAUAUGUUGAAGGAUCUCUAUCAUUCACUACCACAAAACUAUGGGUUAUUUACCAGUGAUGAUGAGAGAGAUGGAAUGGUCGGGGUACCAGGGGUCUCAGGAAAUAUUUUCCAGGAGAUAGAUGGGAGGCAGUUCGACAGCCCAAUACUGGGGAGUAGAAAGCAGAAAGGUGGAUUUGGCAAAGGCAAAGGAAAAGCUAACUUUGCAACUGAAAGAGAGAGGAGGGAGCAGUUUAAUGUGAAGUAUGGGGCUUUAAGGUCACUGUUCCCAAACCCUACUAAGAAUGACAGGGCCUCUAUAGUUGGAGAUGCCAUUGAAUACAUCAAUGAGCUUAAUAGAACAGUGAAAGAACUGAAGAUCCUACUUGAAAAGAAGAGGAACAGCGCUGACAGGAGGAAGAUACUGAAGUUGGAUGAGGAGGCAGCUGAUGAUGGGGAAAGUUCUUCAAUGCAGCCAGUGAGUGAUGAUCAAAACAAUCAGAUGAAUGGGACUAUAAGGAGCUCCUGGGUUCAAAGGAGGUCCAAGGAGUGUGACGUUGAUGUCCGCAUAGUCGAUGAUGAAAUAAAUAUCAAAUUCACAGAGAAGAAGAGAGCCAACUCUUUGCUUUGUGCUGCAAAGGUUCUAGAGGAGUUUCAUCUUGAGCUCAUCCAUGUUGUUGGGGGAAUCAUUGGAGAUCACCAUAUAUUCAUGUUCAAUACAAAGAUACCUAAGGGCUCUUCUGUGUACGCAUGCGCGGUGGCCAAGAAGCUCCUCGAAGCUGUGGAGAUAAAGAAGCAGGCUUAUAAUAUCUUCAACUAGACAUACCAAUCAUAAUGUUUAUCCAGACAACUUAGCAUGCUGGUCUGCUCUUUAGCAUCUAAUAAGGAUGAUCGUGGUGGGUUUCUCACUUUCUCCUACAAUCACACACUCACAAUGCGGAUGACGUCUGGAGAUCUACGAGGUACCUUAAGUCCUGGGGGAAUCAAUUUGGCCAGCCACACCCGUAUUAGUCAAGAUCGCCGUGAUUGCAGAGGCUGAUGAACUGGAGCAGGACUGCAGGCGUAGUAGCUGAUCCGAACACAAAUAAUCAUUCCACUCCACUCUUGUACCUGAUCCCGCAGAUCUCCAGUGCAGUGUGGAGACUCAAUUCACUGCCCUAGUCAUCUGGAAUGCUGUAUGGUCUUUAAUGUGGCGGAGUUGCUGAAUCCACACGUGUAGUGCCAAUGUUUAAACUAUUCACAUCAGUCACA